GCGCAGCUGGCGCGAAUCUUCCACAAUGGACGAAAGUCUGAUGGAGCGACGCCGCGUGAUUGAUGAAGUCCCUCUGGGACGUAAAGAUCUUUUAUGAGGGAAGAAGUUUAUUGACGGUACCUCAUGAAUAAGAGGCUCCUAAUCUCGUGCCAGCAGGAGCGGUAAUACGAGAGCCUCGAGCGUUAUCCGGAAUUAUUGGGCGUAAAGGGUGCGUAGGUUGUUCUGUUAGUCUUUUGUCAAAGCCCCGAGCUUAACUUGGGAUAUGCGGAAGAAACGGCAGAACUUGAAAGUGCGAGAGGCGUACGGAACUCAUGGUGUAGGGGUGAAAUCCGUUGAUAUCAUGGGGAACACCAAAAUGCGAAGGCAGUACGCUGGCGCAUAUUUGACACUGAAGCACGAAAGACGUGGGUAGCGAAUGGGA
rnacentral:rRNA from 1 species